rnacentral:rRNA from 1 species
GUUAGGAAUAUUGGACAAUGGGCGCAAGCCUGAUCCAGCCAUGCCGCGUGAGUGAUGAAGGCCUUCGGGUUGUAAAGCUCUUUAGCCGAUGAAUAUAAUGACUGUAGUCGGAAAAUAAGCCCCGGCUAACUUCGUGCCAGCAGCCGCGGUAAUACGAAGGGGGCGAGCGUUAUUCGGAAUCACUGGGCGUAAAGCGUGCGUUGGCGGCUUUGCAAGUUAGGGGUGAAAGCCCGGGGCUCAACCCUGGAAUUGCUCUGAAAACUGCAAGGCUAGAAUUCGGGGGAGGAUAGCGGAAUUGUCAGUGUAGCAGUGAAAUGCGUAGAUAUUGACAGGAACACCAGUGGCGUAAGCGGCUAUCUGGACCGAUAUUGACGCUGAGGCACGAAAGCGUGGGGAUCAAACAGGAUUAGAUACCCCAGUAGUCC